rfam:Basidiobolus meristosporus CBS 931.73 K493scaffold_458, whole genome shotgun sequence.
GACACUUUGGCGGAGUGGUUAACGCGGUGCCCUGCUAAGGCAUUUCCCUAUGGGAGCGCAGGUUCGAAUCCUGCAGGUGUCG